GGGCAGCACAACAUGGCGGCGCCCUUUGUCCUGUUCGGAGAGCGGGAGGCGGGUGGAAAAGGAUCCCCAGGGAUUGCGGCUUUCCUGCGCCGCUUGCGGUCCGGACUCUCGAGCUGUCCCUGGUCAUUCUUGUGUUUGAGGGGAGUAAAAAUGGCCUUGGGGAUUUGCUUCUGGGAACAGAGAUCCAUUUCCUGAUGGUAGUCCUGGAAAUGGAACUGAGUCUCUGUGAGAGCUGAGGAUGGUACAGAAGGAGUGCUGGGAUUGGAGAGUCCACAGUGAGUAUUGUGUGGUUCCCACAGAAACCUGCUGGGCCGUGGUUCUGGGGCAGGAGUGACAGAAAAAUGGCAUCUUCAGGGCCAUCUUAAGAGUUGUUUUCCCUCAAGAUCACAAUGAAAUGCUGUUCGUGCCCCCCUGGGAAACCCCUGAGCAGGGAAACAGAUUUGAGGACCUCCCAGUGAAUUCAUUGAAUUGUCCCAGCCAGAGAGCUUUUUGCUGACCUAAACUGAGCUUUUAAGCCCCAGACCUCCCGGAUUUGCAGUGUUUUACCAUAACAGUGAGCCAGGAUGGAUUCUCCUGUUCAGUGGUACAGCUGCCCACAAGGGCUGGGUCAGCUGGGCCAGCACUUGCUGUUGUGUGUUUUCCUCUCUCAGAGGAGGCAAAACCACUUUGCUUUCCCUUGUAGGACCAACUGAGGCUGUGGAUUGCAAUGCAGAGCAUCUGCAGGCUCCUGGUGCUUGGGGCUGUGGUGUUUGGAGUGCAGGAAACAUCCCUGACUGUCUGAUCUGGGUGUGGAUGUGCAUUUCCAGGACUAACUCAGUCUGGGUAUCCCACCCACCCAAAGCUUCUGAUGAAGUUCCAGCAAGUCCCUGAAACUUGAGGAAGAAAAGAAAUGAGUUCAAGUAGAAAGAUCAGAUGAUGGAAUUGUCACUCUGGAUGUGUGCUGAGCUCUGGUGGCAGGGGACUGUCAGGCCCUAAUGGCUGCACAUUCUUGUUCUUUUCACUGGGAAAUUGGGAGUAAUUAUUAAUUAGAUUGCAGAAAUAUUUUCUGAAACUUUUCCCUUUUUUCUGUCUUUUGCUGGUAGAUUUUUUCUUUCUGCCUUUGAAAUUACACCUUCCUCGUAGCUCCCAGGUGGGAAAACCUGGGGUGACUUAGGGAGGACAGGGGUGAAAUUUUUAGCUGAAAACUUGGGGAAAUUUAGAGAGGGCAGAGCAACUGUUUUUGGAGGAAAAUGUGUUUAACCACAUUGAUCCGAGUUGUGUUUGCACAACUUGGGGCCAGAGGUAAAAGUUAAUCCAAAGCAAACCCUGCUCAACCUCUAAAUCCCAGGAUAAGUUCUACAAGCUGCAAAUUGAGGGACUAAAAAUACAUUAAAAUGGAACCAAGAGCAUUAAUAAGGUGCCAGGGAAUCCCAGUAUUGUUGUCGUAGAAUUUUUAACUGAUUUUUAAGCUUCUUAUGACAACUGUGAGUUUCUUCCUUUGGAUUACUCAUGCUGUAGGUUUUGAGGUUUAUUUGGAUUUUGAAUCCCUCACUGUGGCCCUGACACUGAUCAGGAGCUGGCAGGAAAAACAGAAUCAGAGCUCCUGGCAGGCGCAGGGUGUUUUCCCCCAGAGUGGAUCCAACUGCUGCCCACCA